rnacentral:rRNA from 1 species
UACGUAGGGGGCAAGCGUUGUCCGGAAUCAUUGGGCGUAAAGAGCGUGUAGGCGGUUCGGUAAGUCGGCUGUGAAAGUCCAGGGCUCAACCCUGGGAUGCCGGUCGAUACUGCCGGACUAGAGUUCGGAAGAGGCGAGUGGAAUUCCCGGUGUAGCGGUGAAAUGCGCAGAUAUCAGGAGGAACACCAGUGGCGAAGGCGGUUACCUGGAGCUUUGCUGACGCUGAUGCGCGAAAGCGUGGGGAGCGAUCCGG